UUUUAUUAUUAUAUCAACAUUUUGUUCGUAUUUCCAUUUCAAUCACCCUGUUUAUAACUUUUCUAUUCUGUGGUAGUCACCUUUUGUAACCUUCACAUUCGUUUAUUUCCGUACCUGCCCGUUUUAAUGUUGUAUAUUUCUAUUAUUGGUCUAAAAGCCAAUUUCCGCUUUAGAUAACCUAUGUAAUUUGAUACCGUAACCAUAUAUGGUAUUGUAAGCUUCGAUUGACCGCGUUAUUGGUCGGAGCAAAACAUCGUUGUUUCAUUGGGGCCGGAAAUGGAAAAAUUCAGCGUGUUUUACUUGCUAACCCGAGGAGAACGGUCGUGCGGUUCAUCCUGAUUUAAGUGCUAAUUUAGUUCCUGUUCAUUUGUUUUCAACAAUUUGGCGAAAGCAUCUUUAAAAAAACAAGUGAACCAGCAUUGUACCUGCCAUUUCUUUUUGGGCAUGGUAACCAUUUAAUCCGAAAGGAGUUCUUCUAAAGGAACGUAAGCAUAAUUGGGACCAUUCUGACAACGAUCGUAGGAUAACUUCCAUUCACUUUCGUACGUUCACGAAGCUCUUUUAUUUUCCGUUGACUCUCUCCAUGUAGAGAGUUCACGUAUUGGGGUCAAGAACUACGAUCCGACUGUUUACCUGUGAAACGAAACUAUAGACCACAUUGUGUUGCGGGUAAGGGGGCAUAGGAAAGUAAAUCGCCUAAGUACUGGAGUGCAGUGAGUCCGAUCUAGCAUCAAACCAUUGAAAUAACUUAAUGGCCGAGUCGUACAUAUCUUGAAGCCGCUACCUUGCUUCCGAUACUUUGUGUAACACUUAGAGUAGCAUUUGUCAUUCAACGUGCAACCAUAUACCAGGACCUGUGGAAAAGAAGACCUAAACAUUGAUCGUACGGUGAUGUAGCAUUGUUAAACCUUUUUGUAAAUUUGUGUGUUUGCAUUUGACCCACCUCGGUGGUGAUCAAUUGAUAAUUGGCCUGCAUAGAGCCAGGAUUAUUACUGUUAAUUGGUAAGCUUGACAUUUUUGGGGUACAAUAUUUUAGCUAGUCAAAAGAUUACUCUCGUUAUGGAGUGAUAACAAUUUAUGUAAGGUACGAACGAGCUCGU